rnacentral:lncRNA from 10 species
AUUGACCCCCUGGCUUGGUGGAGGCAGUCUCUGUCCUGUUUUGUUUUUGUUGUUUGUUUUUGAGACGGAGAUUUGCUCUGUCCCCCAGGCUGGAGUGCAGUGGCAUGAUCUCGGCUCACUGCAACCUCCGCCUCCUGGGUUCAAGCAAUUCUCCUGCCUCAGCCUUCUGAGUAGCUGGGAUUACAGGCGUGAGCCACCAUGCCCGGCUAAUUUUUGUAUUUUUAGUAGAGACGGGGUUUCUCCAUGUUGGCCAGGCUGGUCUUGAACUCCUGGCCUCAAGUGAUCCUCCCGCCUCGGCCUCCCAAAGUGCUGGGAUUACAGGCGUGAGCCACCGCACCUGGCCUGUGCUGUUUUAAAGAGCAGCAUUCCAAGAAGAACAUCCUGCCUACAAAUUCCAGGUCUGGCUGGUGGCUCCAUCAAGGGAGGGGUGUGGGCGUGGACACCCAGACCACUCUAGCAGAGCCCUCUGACAGUCCAUGGGGCUUGAGCGUGGGCCUAUCCAAGCUUGGCGCUGGCGCUGGCUCUGGCCUGUCUCUAUCUGGACAGCCCACGUCAGGCUGUCCCAGGACACGCCGAUAUCAUACUACAAGAAGUGUGUGGGAGUGAGUCCUUCCUCCUGACCCCUUACAUCUAGUAACCAGUGGAGCUUCCACUGGCAGUCAACAAUCAGGGACAAAUACCACACCACUACCCCUAAGACCACCUCCUGCAACUCCACAUGUCCUGCUGCCCCCAGAGGGGCCGUCAUCUGUCUCUGGAGAUGACCUUGCCCUGGGCUGGUUGCUCAAAUCAUCAGAAUCUCCACCCAUGGUAGGUCCAAGCCCAGGUCCGGAAGCCACAACAGGCAGCCCAGUGCUGGUCUGGUGGCAGGAGGGCUGGCAUGGGAGGGAACCGACACGGCUGGCCCCAUAAGUUGCACCUCCUCUUAGCAGGCUCGUCCACACACCGGCAGGGCCACGUGGGAAAAGUGCGGCAGGUCCCAGCAGCUGCCAGAGCACCCUGAGCCCGCAGCUUCUUCCCAUCGACAGUGCAGGGGGAGGAUGGUGUUGAGAGCAGACCCUGUAGAUCCAGUGGGACUGGUGGGGAUGGGGAGUCCCACUGGGGGACUGAUGGGGGAUGGGCUUCUCUUGAGCACCUGCUCUGCACUGAGCACAGUGCAUUGCUUACCUUGUCACCAGAGGAGGGUAUCACAACCACUUCACACAAUAAGAACCCAAGAUUCAGAGAGGUUAGGUCACAAUGUUGAGGUCACACAGCUGGCAACAGGCAGCUCCCUCCCCACCCAGUGUAGGCCAGAGAAAGCGUCCCGUCAUCAGGACUCAACACAGCUGCCCUCUAGUCAGUCCAGGCUCUGAGGCAUGCAGGCUCUGCUUCCACCUGGAGGCUGCAGAGGCUGUGAACCCACUGACCACGUGGUACUGACAGCUCCUGGGACGAUCUAACACCACCUCCCAUUCCCCAGGGCAGGGCAGGUGUGUUUGAGGAUAAAGACCUCCUUGGCUGGCUGAGCCCCAAGAAGCUGAAGACGGAAGGCACGGGCGACACACAGACACAGGGAAAACAUUUGUCCUGGCUUCCCCAGCACAGGGGCAGAGGGAGGACCCUAUGGAAGCCCUCAGGAGCAAAUGGAAACUUGGGUGCCUGAGGCCUCUGAGUCCCAACAGAAGCAGUCAGUGGGGGCCAGCCAGAGGGAGGUGGGUGCAUGCAAGGGCUCUGACUGCCCUUGUUCCCCGACACCCUGAACAGCUGCAAACAGGGGGGUCCUGGCCUCAGAGGCAAUCCUGGCAGAGGCCGUCCCAAGUCACCAUUCUCAUUCUGUUUGGGCCCUGGGGAUGGGAAGAUUGAUUAAGUGUCAUCCAGCAUAAGCCACUCCUGCAACAAGUGCAAUGAAGUCAGGUUUAAUUUUGAGAUUCCUGUGCCCUCACUCACGCAAGGAGGAAGUCACCUGGCUCCA